GACGAACGCUGGCGGCGUGCUUAACACAUGCAAGUCGAGCGGAAAGGCCCUUCGGGGUACUCGAGCGGCGAACGGGUGAGUAACACGUGAGUAACCUGCCCCAGACUUUGGGAUAACCCUCGGAAACGGGGGCUAAUACCGGAUACGACACAGCUUCGCAUGGGGUCUGUGUGGAAAGUUUUUCGGUUUGGGAUGGGCUCGCGGCCUAUCAGCUUGUUGGUGGGGUGAUGGCCUACCAAGGCGACGACGGGUAGCCGGCCUGAGAGGGCGACCGGCCACAGGGGGAUGGGAAACGGCCCAGGCGCCCGGGGGGGGGAAGAGGGGGGAAUUUUGGAAAAGGGGGGGGAGCCUUGAGGGGGCGCGCCGGGGGGGGGGAGGCGGCCUUGGGGUUUAAAACCUUGUUCCGGAGGGAAGGAGGGGAAGGGGAGGUACCCUAAAGAAGAGGCGCCGGCAAACUCGGGC
rnacentral:rRNA from 1 species